rnacentral:lncRNA from 1 species
GUUGGAAUUGGCAAUCUAGAGCUGGUUCUACUAUAUUCAAACAUUCAGAAGAUGGCCAUGAUAAAGAGAGUGGUAAUCUUGACGAGGUCCACAAAGACAAUGUUGAAGAUGAUUAUGAUGAUGAGAAAGAUGAUGAUUCUAAUGUUUCAGAUGAUUCGGAUGAUGAGUUACUGAGUGAUGAGUUUGAUUCUGAUACCAGUCAGAAGAGUCAUGACACACGUAAGAAAAGCCGAUGGUUCAAGAAAUUCUUUGAAAGUUUGGAAAGCCUGACAGUUGAGGAGAUCAAUGAACCAGCAAGGC